AGAGUUUGAUCCUGGCUCAGGACGAACGCUGGCGGCGUGCCUAAUACAUGCAAGUAGAACGCUGAAGAGAGGAGCUUGCUCUUCUUGGAUGAGUUGCGAACGGGUGAGUAACGCGUAGGUAACCUGCCUUGUAGCGGGGGAUAACUAUUGGAAACGAUAGCUAAUACCGCAUAACAAUGGAUGACACAUGUCAUUUAUUUGAAAGGGGCAAUUGCUCCACUACAAGAUGGACCUGCGUUGUAUUAGCUAGUAGGUGAGGUAACGGCUCACCUAGGCGACGAUACAUAGCCGACCUGAGAGGGUGAUCGGCCACACUGGGACUGAGACACGGCCCAGACUCCUACGGGAGGCAGCAGUAGGGAAUCUUCGGCAAUGGGGGCAACCCUGACCGAGCAACGCCGCGUGAGUGAAGAAGGUUUUCGGAUCGUAAAGCUCUGUUGUAAGUCAAGAACGAGUGUGAGAGUGGAAAGUUCACACUGUGACGGUAGCUUACCAGAAAGGGACGGCUAACUACGUGCCAGCAGCCGCGGUAAUACGUAGGUCCCGAGCGUUGUCCGGAUUUAUUGGGCGUAAAGCGAGCGCAGGCGGUUUGAUAAGUCUGAAGUUAAAGGCUGUGGCUCAACCAUAGUUCGCUUUGGAAACUGUCAAACUUGAGUGCAGAAGGGGAGAGUGGAAUUCCAUGUGUAGCGGUGAAAUGCGUAGAUAUAUGGAGGAACACCGGUGGCGAAAGCGGCUCUCUGGUCUGUAACUGACGCUGAGGCUCGAAAGCGUGGGGAGCGAACAGGAUUAGAUACCCUGGUAGUCCACGCCGUAAACGAUGAAUGCUAGGUGUAGGAGGUAUCGACCCCUCCUGUGCCGGAGUUAACGCAAUAAGCAUUCCGCCUGGGGAGUACGGCCGCAAGGCUGAAACUCAAAGGAAUUGACGGGGGCCCGCACAAGCGGUGGAGUAUGUGGUUUAA
rnacentral:rRNA from 1 species